CGUUUGUCAUUGCGUACACACCGCGCUCGUAUCGCGUUCUCUCAUUUGUAUGAAUUAUACUCCUCCUCCCGCACACGCAAUAAUUCGUUUGAAAAUUAAAAAUCCACUCGUUUACCGCGUAAUUGUAAUUGUAUUAGGAUUUAAAUGCACUAAAAACCGUCGAAAAGUGCUCUGAAAAAAAUAAAGCUAAACAUGCUUUUAGACAAUAACACAUUUACUUGUUUUCGAACGAAUGUAAACAAUUACUUAAAUGCGCAUAUUGUAUGCACAGAGUAGAUUGAAUUGUAAACUACUUACGAAAAUACAUAAAUAAUAAACGUUGAUUUUUAUUUUUUAGUCUGGAUAAAAGUUACACAUUGGUUCGACGCGAUUUUUAAUUCAAUGUCUUCCCGCUUGGCAAAAUCCUGAAUGCGCGCCGCUGCCCCGUUUAGCGAUUUUCUACGACCCCAGCAUUAUUUUCUCGUGUACUAUGUUAUAGCGAUAUGACCGACAUGGACAAUUCCGGAGUUUUAAAAAAAUGACGCCCCGUAAUAUUUAGUGCCGAUAGGCGCGUAUCAAUGGAAAUCGCAUUCUCGAUACUUGCGGGCUAGACGCCACCCUUGUUCGCGUCUUGUACGUAUGCACAUUCUUAGUUUCGUGUGUUAUUUUUAUUAUUAUUAUUAUUAGUCGGAGAAGCGAAAUUCGAUUAAUAGAAAAAAAAAAUCGCGUUUCACAUGUCGAACGAAAUAUCGUUUCGUGUGACAAAAUGUAAACUUCUCCUGCGCC